UACACCCCUACGGGAGGCAGCAGUGGGGAAUUUUGGACAAUGGGCGAAAGCCUGAUCCAGCAAUGCCGCGUGCAGGAUGAAGGCCUUCGGGUUGUAAACUGCUUUUGUACGGAACGAAAAAGCUCCUUCUAAUACAGGGGGCCCAUGACGGUACCGUAAGAAUAAGCACCGGCUAACUACGUGCCAGCAGCCGCGGUAAUACGUAGGGUGCGAGCGUUAAUCGGAAUUACUGGGCGUAAAGCGUGCGCAGGCGGUUAUGUAAGACAGAUGUGAAAUCCCCGGGCUCAACCUGGGAACUGCAUUUGUGACUGCAUGGCUAGAGUACGGUAGAGGGGGAUGGAAUUCCGCGUGUAGCAGUGAAAUGCGUAGAUAUGCGGAGGAACACCGAUGGCGAAGGCAAUCCCCUGGACCUGUACUGACGCUCAUGCACGAAAGCGUGGGGAGCAAACAGGAUUAGAAACCCGAGUAGUCCC
rnacentral:rRNA from 1 species